rnacentral:rRNA from 1 species
AGAGUUUGAUCAUGGCUCAGAGUGAACGCUGGCGGCAGGCCUAAUACAUGCAAGUCGAACGGCAGCACAGCAGAGCUUGCUCUGUGGGUGGCGAGUGGCGGACGGGUGAGGAAUACGUGGGAAUCUGCCCAGUCGUGGGGGAUAACGUAGGGAAACUUACGCUAAUACCGCAUGCGCCCUUCGGGGAAAGCCGGGGACCUUCGGGCCUGGCGCGAUUGGAUGAGCCCACGUCGGAUUAGCUAGUUGGCGGGGUAAAGGCCCACCAAGGCGACGAUCCGUAGCUGGUCUGAGAGGAUGAUCAGCCACACUGGAACUGAGACACGGUCCAGACUCCUACGGGAGGCAGCAGUAGGGGAAUAUUGGACAAUGGGCGCAAGCCUGAUCCAGCCAUGCCGCGUGAGUGAAGAAGGCCCUCGGGUUGUAAAGCUCUUUUGUCCGGAAAGAAAAGCGCCGGGUUAAUACCCUGGUGUCCUGACGGUACCGGAAGAAUAAGCACCGGCUAACUUCGUG